rnacentral:rRNA from 1 species
AAACCAGCACCUCAAGUGGUCAGGAUGAUUAUUGGGCCUAAAGCAUCCGUAGCCUGCUCUGUAAGUUUUCGGUUAAAUCUGUACGCUCAACGUACAGGCUGCCGGGAAUACUGCAGAGCUAGGGAGUGGGAGAGGUAGACGGUACUCGGGAGGAAGUGGUAAAAUGCUUUGAUCUCUCGAUGACCACCUGUGGCGAAGGCGGUCUACCAGAUCACGUCCGACGGUGAGGGAUGAAAGCUGGGGGAGCAAACCGGAUUAGAAACCCGAGUAGUCC